rnacentral:misc_RNA from 1 species
UCCGGUUUGUCACCGGCAGUCCCAUUAGAGUGCUCAACUGAAUGUAGCAACUAAUGGCAAGGGUUGCGCUCGUUGCGGGACUUAACCCAACAUCUCACGACACGAGCUGACGACAGCCAUGCAGCACCUGUGUUCAGGUUCCCUUUCGGGCACCUCUGCAUUUCUGCAGAGUUCCUGACAUGUCAAGGGUAGGUAAGGUUUUUCGCGUUGCAUCGAAUUAAACCACAUCCUCCUCUGCUUGUGCGGGUCCCCGUCAAUUCCUUUGAGUUUUAGCCUUGCGGCCGUACUUCCCAGGCGGCAUACUUAUCGCGUUAGCUGCGUCUCACAGGGGGUCGAUACCCCCGACACCUAGUACUCAUCGUUUACGGCGUGACUAC